rnacentral:misc_RNA from 1 species
GAUGAAGAAGGUAGCGAAAUGCGAUACGUAAUGUGAAUUGCAGAAUUCAGUGAAUCAUCGAGUCUUUGAACGCACAUUGCGCCCUCUGGUAUUCCGGAGGGCAUGCCUGUCCGAGCGUCAUUGCUGCCCUCAAGCACGGCUUGUGUGUUGGGCUCCGUCCCCCGAUCCCGGGGGACGGGCCCGAAAGGCAGCGGCGGCACCGCGUCCGGUCCUCGAGCGUAUGGGGCUUUGUCACCCGCUCUGUAGGCCCGGCCGGCGCUUGCCGAUCAACCAAAUUUUUAUCCAGGUUGACCUCGGAUCAGGUAGGGAUACCCGCUGAACUUAAGCAUAUCAAUAAGCGGAGGA